AUUAUUAAUUAUUAAUAAGCAUAGCGAUUGUCACCAAUGUCCACGAUGUUUAUGAAAUUACUUUAUUAAAGUUGGUGCUUAUUUUUAUAUCACAGGUGUAGGACUAAAUGAUAAUUUAGAGCCUCGUAAUGUAUCUCAAAGUGUGGUUGGCCAGUUUACAGUAAUUAGAUUGCCGGUAUUAUCUUGGAGAUGAUAAAAGAUUGUAAAACAGCAGAUCAUUUGAUUUUGCUGGCUGGAUAACUUGAUAAUAGGAAAUAUAGCUAUUGUUAUGGCAUCGACGUGUCUUAGGUAUAGAUAUUCCUUUUGCCUCAAUAGUAGAUUCUGGAAUUUAUUCCUUGGAAAUAAAAAAAAAUAGAUGCCUCAAUUCUAAGAGAAAAUCUAUUGAAGUCAGAAGAGACAAAAAUAUAUGUAUAUUACAGAAGGCAAAAUGAUGGAGAUUCAAGUUGAUAGACAGCAAUUGAAAAAUUAGUAGUGUGAGUAGAUAUGUAUAGUAAUACAGAAAUGAGUAGUGCAUGUGAUCUAAUUUCUUAUAUCACACAUUCAGAUUGAUAUUGUUGUAAUCUUUCAAUUGUGCUCAGAUUAUUGAGGCUGUAAAUUAUGGCUGUUCUUUAUUUCUCAAUGAAAAUAGAUAAAUGCAGUUUCUGAAGGAAUAUCAAGAUGAUUUUAUGUUUGUAUGGAUUUUAAGUAAAUUAACAAUUAUUAAUAUAUACAUAAUUUAUUGGAUAUGAUAUUGAAGUAUAAGAAUACUAGAGAAGUUCAUAAAUUGAUUUUUUUUAUUGAAUUUUGUCUUUUGUAACACAUUUAUUGGAAAUAUCCAAAAACUAAUUACUAUAUAGAAAAAUCUUUCAAAA